AAGAACCCGCCCCUCCUCUUGUCGGUAGUUGGUCUGUUUGCGGCAUCCUGCAUCGUUACACGUAUUGCCGCUGCUACAGCGGCUUCCCCGACAGUCCUUCCAGCUGUGGCCUUCCAGAAGAAAGCCCUUUGCAACCACUUCGUGCAGCCUUUCGCAAGCACACCAGCUCACCACGCAUGUGGCAAGGCAAACCACGGAACCUACGGCUCGUUUCUCGUCAAACAGACACUGCCGCGUCGGCACCAUUUCGGCACUCUAGCCCUCGUCCCUUGCAGCCAAACAGCGCGCUGCCAUCUGUCACUGUAUGCAUGUAGUCUCCAGCCCCAGAUCCAACAAUUAAAGCGCGUAAACUCCUCAGCACAAGAGUUCGCCAGGUCAGAAGCCCCUUCGCAGUCCACCUUCUUACUCGAUGAAAGCGUGCUUGUUCUCAGACUUCUUUUCCCCUGGUGCCCGGCGCAUGGUAGCCCUGUGCAACGCCAGAACAGAGCAAAGCAUGUCAGCGGCCGUCGCGGUUCCGGUGUUUGGCCACUGUUGGGAGUCCUGAGCUCGCCAAACGUGCGAUAUUUGUCAUGACAUAAUAAAAUGCUUGUCCUGCUGCGUUUCAAGCGCCCCAGGCUUUGGAAUUCUUGCUUACCUGGCGGCGCCAGCGUUGCCCGCGCCGCUGACAGCCAGGAAUUGCCGGAACAGGUGCGAGUUCACGUCGUAAAUCAUGGCUACCGGUGGCUGCACGAGGGUCGAGGUCAGAAAAAUGCAGAAGUUGGGCGCGGGAACGCGGCGUGUGGUGCGGUUUGCUUGAACGUGAGAACGUGUAAGCUGCAAAGCUAUAAUGUAGGCAGGUAUGAUGAAAACGCAUUUGCCAGUCGCAGGGCGCACGGUAAUCAGCGGGAAACAAUCACAAUUGUGUUCAUGCUACCCGCACGCACGAACCACCCCCCAGUACAAUUUCCAACCCAGUCCCGCCGGCUCCAUCCGUCGACGCCAACAAACGCAAACGGAAGUCUGAGGUCUGCCGUAAUCCACACUCUGCUCUCCCUUGUCCACCGUGUCGCAUGCCGCUCCACCACUUCACGCUCCGGUUCACAUUCACCAUCCUCGCAGGAGUCUUAGCACACGUUGCGGGCAUUCCUGUACCCAUACUAGGGUAUGCGAACGCAAUGUCCUAACACUGUCACAGUCAAAAAGUGUUAUAUCGUGUUGUACAAUCUGUGCAUACUCGUACAACUCAGCCGCCACCGCCGUGCAUCAGGCGGUGGCAGGUCCUCAGCUCAAUCCACACACCGUUCUCGGUACAAAACCGCACAAAGUGCUGCGUAACAGAAUUCUUCCAAUCGUGUCCGACCACGACCACACCGGUAUACUUACAGCGCUCUCCGCACGCACCCCGCGUGUGCCGGCGCCACAUACCGCCUCAGCGUCCCUCACCCUGCCUCACCCUGCCUCACCCAGUCCCGACGCCUCACAGCUCCUCCCUGCCCCCCGCUGGCAGGAGCCCCGCCCGUGCCGCCGCCGCCGCCAGUUGCUGCAUGGCCCCCACCACCUCCUGCAGCCCGCGCUCGUCGAUGCGGCAGCUCUCCAGUGCCGCCCAGAAGAGCUCCGCACUGGCCAGCACCAUGGCCAGCGUCACCACCGUCUGGAUGGGAAGUGGCACGAGGCAAGGGGGCAGAGAGCAGCGAAAUCAUGUGGACAGGGCAAGGCAAGGAGGCGCGGUGGCAGAGCUGUGUCUAUUGGCACUGGUGCCUAGCAAAUGUAGGCGCAAUAGCAGGUUUUGGCCACACGACACAAAGGACACUUACCUAACAAUUGCCUAGCACACAUCGUGCCAGCGCGUGCCACCAUCCACAGAACCCCCUUGCCUGCCCCGCAUCAUCCCAUGCGCACGGGUGUGCCCCCGCACGCACCUGCAGCAGCCGGCCCGGCGUGCUUUCCCGGAAGGCCUUGGGCAUCAGCACCGCUGUGGCUGUGUCCUGCACCAGGAUCAUCAGCGGCUGCACCAGGAAGAAGCCCAGCAUGCGGUAGCUGCCCUCCAGCUGCCCGCCGCACAUGAACCUGCCAGAUACAUGCACACAAAUACGGUACACAUUGAGAACAAGGAAGCGGCACUGGUCACUGGCCGUGCAUAGCAAGGGUUGGUCGCCGUUCGUUCCUGAAGCACGGCAUCGACCGGGCCUUGACCUGGGGCUGGCCGCUCUCUUAACCUUACGCGCACGCUUUCUUUCUCUGCACCCUCCACCUCCCUCCUUCAGCCAGUUCCACCCCACUCACGCAAUGCAGAUCUCGUGCAUGACGCCGCUGAUGAAGAAAGACACGCCCAUCGCUGCCAGCAUCACAGGCAUGGGUGUGCGAGGCCGGCCGCUAGCACCCGAGCUGUUGCUGUUGCUGCUGCUGCCGGCAUGGCCAGGCGCCGGCGCCGCGGCCUUUGGCCCCGCGCGAACAGCGACGCCGGCGCCAGCAGCGGCGCCAUUGUGCGCCGCCUUGCCCUCGCCGCUGCCGGUUCCGAUGCCGUUGCCGUUGGCUGGCGUGUCCGCUCCGGCAACGGGCCUAGCGGGUGCAGGCACUGUGGGUGCCGGCGCUGGUGCUAUCGCUGCUGGCGCUACCCACUUGCCCUGGGCAGAGCACGACAUGCAUGCAAACGGUGAAAUGGUGCACUGACCCUCAGCGCACAUUCCGGGCAAGCAUUGGCGAACGGGCAACGCACGUAGCGUGGCCUGUUGACGGACCAGGACAACCAGCUCCGCCCAGUCUACUCUUGGCGGUACACCAAUCCGCCCCGGCCCACACACUUUACUGGCCACACGGCACGCAACGCACGUCGACCGCGCAUGCCGCCGCCACACGUCUGCAUUGCACCCAAGCCAUGUAGCCUUCAACUUAGCUUCAAUUCCCCACAACGCCCUUCCCCCGUCCCUCGAGCCCACCCCCACCUGCACGAUGGGCUUGUACACGGUCUCCAACAGCGUGGCCGACACGAUCUGGUUGUAGCGGCGGCCCCAGAACUCGCGCACGCUGGUGGCGGCGUAGGGCCCGUCCAUGGCCGGCUGUAGCGCCAGGCCACCGCCGCGCUGCCCCGCCCCCAGCAGCGCCCCGCUCAACGGCAUGGCGGCGUCCAGGCACAGCGACACGAACAUCCACAUGUACACCGCUGCAGCGUGGGCCCGCAGAAGAGAAAGACUAGUGAGAUGAGAAAAGUGAGAGUGGGUGGAGGCUUUGGAGGGAACUUGAGAGGAGAGUGGAGGUGGUUCGACUCGCCGGAUAAAUGAUGGACGACAUGAGUCAUCACUGAAAGCUAUCCGGCUAUUUGCGUUCCGCGCUUCUCGAUUGAUUUGGAAAUGGUAUGUUGUGAGUCAGCACGCACCGUAGCACACGUGCCGCGCUACGGGCGGCACGCCCUGUGGCGCCAGCAGCACCACAUUCAGACCCAGCCACACGCCCAGCUUCAGCAGCACCCCUAGAGCCGCCACGCC
rnacentral:lncRNA from 1 species